UGUCUCUCCACUGCUACAACAAUCAGCACUCUGGUUUGGUUGAAAUAAACUCUUAGUUCACCCAUUUAAAUGUGGAAAUUUGAUUGCUUUAUACACGCUAAAAGUAUUGUUUAUGUAAAUGGAGUCUGAUGAAGAGAUGUUGGCUCUAUACAAGCU